CAGUAACAUCGAGAGUAGGGCUGACGUCCUCACCAACCUGCCCGCCUGGGUAAGGUGGUUUGCUCAAGAAGAUACCUGUAACCUAUCUUCUAUUAAGCGAUGUGGUCGAUUCAGACAACCAAUCAGGUGAAU
rnacentral:ncRNA from 2 species